GUUCUGCGGGGCAGCGGGGAGAUGCUCGCAUAACCACUUGGAUCUCCUGCCUCAGAUGGAAGCAAGCUUCCUUGUGAUGUUCCAGAAGGGAGUGUACCAGCAGAAAAUACCGUGACACUUCCUAUACCACGAGCUGGAGGGUGGACCAGAAUUUAUUCCCCACCUCUCAGGACGUAGCCUGUAUUUCCAACAGGGCCAGCCAUGAUGCUGCUUCGCGUCUUCCUGACCUGGACUGGCCAUGUUCUUGCCAGAGAAAGAAAUGGAGUCGUUUUACUCCUCAUCUCCGAAGUUAUGUACACCAGCAUCACCCGCUAUAGAAAUUACAUGGCGACGAGUUCAAAGGGUAAUUUAUGGAGCAUGGACAGUAAGUGGGGUGUGUGUUCUGUCCUUCCUAAAAAAUCCCAGACGAGGGCAGACUUAGGAAUAAUUUUCAAAAAUCAGGAAGUCUGCGAAAAUCCCCCCACUGUCUUAUAAAGACUGCAUGCUGCUCAUCAAAUCUCCUAAGACCUCGGGGUCCCUCCCCCUCUGAGGAGGUCCCUGGACCUGACUCCUAAUGGCCAAAACCAAAGAACGCAGGCACCUGCCUCCAGCAAAUCCACUCAGAUUCCCUCUCAUUCCCAGACACAAAUUUCCAUGAAAACCAGACACAGGACAGAAAGCAGAGCAGGAUAUUCCAAAAUCGCUUCAGAUCUGCAGCCUGGUUUCAUUAGACUCUCCGGCUUGUUUCUUUUAGCCCCUGUGCAUGCCCACGGCAGGUGAAAUGUCGGCACUGCCGUCUACACCCAUGAAGUCCGUAGGCUUAAGGAAACCCGCCCGGUGCAGGAGAGAUAGGAGACUGUGGUGCCGAGGGGGACAUGGGUCUGUCCAGGAGUCAGCAGGAGGAGGGAGGCCCUUAGUGAUGCUCUGAAUCCUUGACGAGGUGGCUCUACGGGGUGUUACUUGUCAUGUCACUGAACCCAUCCCCACCGCCCUAGAGCAUACCAAAGCUGUUCAGCCCGAAAGGAAAAACUCUACAGUUGUCGUUAUUAAUCCAAGUCUAACUAAAGAUCGCAGCUUCCAAGAGCACACGUUGGCCACACGUUGGUUAUUUCUCACCCACGAACACCCAACCUGAGAAGCUGAUAGGGAAUGCAUUUGGGGGUGGGUAGGAGGCAGCCCCGCUGGCUUUCUGUCCCUUUCGUCAUGCAACAAUCCUGCACUCAGCACUUGGUCUCCAAGGUCCUCCCUGAUGAAGGCGCAAGGACCCAGCACAGAAGCAACUGGACACUAACCCCUUGCAAGCCACCAGGCCAGCCUCAGGUUCUAGUGGCCAGCCAUGACACGGAUUUUCCUCCAAGACUUCAAGCGCAUGUGGCUUACAUCAACGUGGUCUCGCACCCACGCUCCACGGAGACCACUUGCCUCGCACAUUCUCCUAUUUACACAUGUUCACUGAACGCAACCCCAAGUGAAUUAUUUAAGAAGUCUUAAUGUGCUUCAGACUUCUCAAAUAGAAUUUCGACCUUAAAUUAAAUGCGUACUCCCGUGGGAAACCGGGAGGAGGAACUCAGCCCACGGCAUCAGGUGGACAGGCAGCGGCCCCAGAAGAGAAUUUCAGUUUACCUCUGGAAGGAUCUCCUCUGCUGGCCCAGGCUCCGUGUUGAACAGAACAGGAUUCGACUGCAAAACUGCAUUUGUUAUAGCGGAGCCGACUGCACGCAAGAGAUUUAUCUUUAUAUAUUUAUAUAUUUAUAAAGAUAAUCUUGCUUUUUGGUUUGUCCCUCAAUGGCCUUCCAAGGAAGCACCCGAGCCACCAAAGCGGGGUCACAGCAUAGACGAGAACACACAGCCCUGUUCCUUAGUUUUGAGGGAUAGCAGCACCUCAAGAAUGCUAUUCUUCCAAAUGAUAAAUUGCAUUAUUCUCAAGAAACUGUCUGCAUGCAAAACAAGAAAUCUGUCAUCAUCCUGGAAUUAUAUUUAAACAGGGAAUAUUCGAGGAAGAUUUUUACUCAUGAAGUUGUCAGAGCAUGAUUCCAAUAAAAGCAGCACCACGCGUUACCAGGCGUGCAAAGCUUCUGCCUGAAAGUAUUUACUUUGUUCCUUAAAAGUAUGUAGUGAGUCAACAGGAAAUUAUAUAUACAUCUUCCCUCCGAUUAGAAAACUGCAAAUUGAGUACUAAAUAUGUCAUGCUAGCACUCAAUUUCUUAUUGCUAUCAUAUCUGGCUCCACAGUGAUACGCUGGGUGGGAUCCAAAGGAGACACCAAGUAACAAAAUUCUACUCCUGUGUCGAGUUAUAUAAUGGAUUUCAUGGUUACUGAUUAUAUUAAAUAUAAUCCCCUAGCCUAAGAUUCUAAACCUGCACUGUCUAAUCAUACAACAACCACUAGCCACGUGUGGCCACUGAGCCCUUGAAAUAUGGUCAGUCCAGACUGAGAUGUGUUGUAAGUGCAAACUCCACACUGGAGUUUGAAGAUUUAAUAUAAAACGUAAUAAUAUAAAAUGCCUCACCAAUAUUUAUAUGCAUUGCAUUGAAAUGAUAAUAUUUUGGACAUGUUGUGUUACAUGAAAUAGAUUAUUAAAAUUAAUUUAACCGGUUUCGUUUUCUUUCUAAUGUGGCUACUGGAAACUUUAAACAUUGGCCCCUGGAAAUUUUAAUGUGGCUACUGGAAAAUUUAGAACGAGCCAUGAGACUUGCGCUCCACUUUCUCUGCCCAGCGUUGCUGCCUUGAUUGACCUUCCACCGUCUCUGCCCCUCUGGCCCCUGCUUCCUCCUUGUCACUUUCGGGAGUGGGCCCUCCUCUCUGACCAAGGGAGUUCUGGAACUCGAUUCUGCGAGUCCUUACUACCUGUGUCCAGCACUCCCAAGCCUCACCCUGAUAUUCCGGAAAAUGGGGGCAAUAAGGGCCCCUCCUUCAAAGAGCUGUGGUGGGGGUGACUCUGACAACCCACAGCCCCAGCCUCCACCAUCUGGUGCAGACAUUGCCGUUAGGAUCCUGCAAACACCACACUCACUCUCCCUUCCCUGUUGCAAGACCAUUUCAUUCCCUACCUUGCAACUUCACACUUGGGAUACUGAGAUAAGUGUCUAGAUUGGUCCCUCCAAAACCGGGGAGGGCCCUGUGGGUCCCAUGCUACAUGACCCAGCUCCUGGGCAACACUUCCAAUGCUCCUAGCACCAGCAAUGCCUGACUCCCCUGCCCUGCCCGCCAGCCCCCCUACCCACUCCCCCCCAGCCCUGCCUAGAGAGCCAACACAGGGCACGGGGCAGCUCUAAUGCCUCCUCCCUCGGGAAGCACUCUCUGAUCUUCCUACGGUGUGGUUUAGAUCACUCUUCGUACGAUUUUUGUAAGAUGGGCUAUUUUAUUUAUACUCUACCUUGUUUAAAAAAAAAAGAUUUAAAGUGAUCUACAAGGAUAUAUG